ACCCGUCCUCAUCAAUCUGCGUAUAAAUAACACGACUUUACACUUUCUAGUUGCGUGUAAUGUAUACGCCAAAUGCCAAUUUUGCAUGCAUAUGAUACGCCAAUCCUUCACAUUAAUUUUGGUGGAAAGCAGAUGCGUCCAAAUACCACGCAUCAUCUUCAGCGGCAGUGACGUCACCAGCGAGGCUCGUCCAGUUCACCUGAUGCGCGUACACCUUCAAACAGGUAAGCAAGGACACCAUGACACACGCUCCCAAUGCUGAUUUUGAAGAAGCUGUCAAGCGGGCUGAACAAGUCCUUCAAAGGUUCAACCCUUCACAGAAAUGCCUGUCAUGAGAUUUGAAUUUGACCAUCUUGUGCAUUUAUGAAGAAGACCAAAAGCUGCAAAGGCAAACACUUCCAAUGUACAUGAUAUCUGUCCACACCUCAUAGUCUGCCUUUCUUUCUAUGGUGAUUUUACUGAACACAUCUGUCUUAGAAGCAAGAGAAUGGAAAUGCUAGUUUAACUUUUCAAGUGCUACAAAUCAGAUCUUCAAUGAAUUUGGCCAAAUCAGAUCACUUAAAGCUGUUCACACCAAGAACAAGAACUAUAAUGAGAACAAUUUUAGCAUCCACACCAACAGACAAUACUGUUCUCUCAAGUCUCUUAAAUUUUCCUCUCAUUCUGUUAAACUUAUACACAAAAUUCUGCCUUUCUCUGCCUUUUUCAUUUCAUCUUUAUCUUUUACUCCCUCACUCACACAUUAUUUUAUGCUCUGUUUUAAGGUAGAAACUGAGAGUUUGCAUGAUGGCCUUUUCUCAGACGCUGAAUCUGAUGUGUACAGAUUAACUCAGGAGCCUGCUAGAGUUGCCAGGGAACUUGAGCUUGAAUUAUAUAAUUAUAACUGCU